rnacentral:rRNA from 1 species
UACGGAGGGUGCAAACGUUGCUCGGAAUCAUUGGGCGUAAAGCGCACGUAGGCGGCUCGUUAAGUCGGAUGUGAAAUCCCUGGGCUCAACCCAGGAAGUGCAUUCGAAACUGGCGAGCUUGAAUAUGGAAGAGGGUCGCGGAAUUCCCGGUGUAGAGGUGAAAUUCGUAGAUAUCGGGAGGAACACCAGUGGCGAAGGCGGCGACCUGGGCCGAUACUGACGCUGAGGAGCGAAAGCGUGGGGAGCAAACAGG